GAUGAACGCUGGCGGCGUGCCUAAUACAUGCAAGUCGAGCGAACGGACGAGAAGCUUGCUUUUCUGAUGUUAGCGGCGGACGGGUGAGUAACACGUGGAUAACCUACCUAUAAGACUGGGAUAACUUCGGGAAACCGGAGCUAAUACCGGAUAAUAUUUUGAACCGCAUGGUUCAAAAGUGAAAGACGUUCUUGCUGUCACUUAUAGAUGGAUCCGCGCUGCAUUAGCUAGUUGGUAAGGUAACGGCUUACCAAGGCAACGAUGCAUAGCCGACCUGAGAGGGUGAUCGGCCACACUGGAAAUGAGACACGGUCCAGACGCCUACGGGAGGCAGCAGUAGGGAAUCUUGCGCAAUGGGCGAAAGCAUGACGGAGCAAGGCCGCGUGAGUGAUGAAGGUCUUCGGAUCGUAAAACUCUGUUAUUAGGGAAGAACAUAUGUGUAAGUAACUGUGAACAUCUUGACGGUACCUAAUCAGAAAGCCACGGCUAACUACGUG
rnacentral:rRNA from 1 species